UGAGUACGAGAUGCUACGGCAUCGAAGCAGUCUAUGUCAUACUUCCAAGAAAAGCUUGCACUGUCAGAAACAGAUAAUGCCUGUACCAUAACCGACACAGGUGGGUAGGUAGAGUAUACUAAGGGGCGCGAGAUAACUCUCUCUAAGGAACUCGGCAAAAUGACUCCGUAACUUCGGGAGAAGGAGUGCCUUAUUUUUAAGGUUGCAAUAACAAGAUCCAAGCAACUGUUUACCAAAAACACAGGUCUCCGCUAAGUCGUAAGACGAUGUAUGGGGGCUGACGCCUGCCCAGUGCCAGAAGGUUAAAGAAGUCGGUUAGCAUUCGCGAAGCUGGUAACUGAAGCCCUGGUGAACGGCGGCCGUAACUAUAACGGUCCUAAGGUAGCGAAAUUCCUUGUCGGGUAAGUUCCGACCCGCACGAAAGGCGUAAUGAUUUGGAUACUGUCUCGGAGAGGGGCUCGGUGAAAUAGACUUGUCUGUGAAGAUGCGGACUACCUGCACCUGGACAGAAAGACCCUAUGAAGCUUUACUGUAACUUGAAAUUGAAAUUGGACUUUAUUUGCGCAGUAUAGGUGGGAGGCGUUGAAAAUAUUCUUGCGGGAAUAUUGGAGCCAUCAGUGAGAUACCACUCUUGUAAUGUUAGAUUUCUAACUUUAUAUCAUUAUCUGGUUAAAGAACAGUUUCAGGCGGGCAGUUUGACUGGGACGGUCGCCUCCCAAAUGGUAACGGAGGCGCACAAAGGUUUCCUCUGAACGGGUAGAAAUCGUAUCUAGAGUGUAAAGGCAUAAGGAAGCUUGACUGUGAGACCUACAAGUCGAGCAGGGACGAAAGUCGGUCUUAGUGAUCUGACGGUGCUGAGUGGAAAGGCCGUCACUCAACGGAUAAAAGUUACUCUAGGAUAACAGGCUGAUCUCCCCCAAGAGUUCACAUCGACGGGGAGGUUUGGCACCUCGGUGUCGGCUCAUCGCAUCCUGGGGCGGUAGUACGUCCCAAGGGUUGGGCUGUUCGCCCAUGAAAGCGGUACGCGAGCUGGGUUCAGAACGUCGUGAGACAGUUCGGUCCAUAUCCGGUGUAGGCUUAGAAUAUUGAGAGGAGCCUUCUUUAGUACGAGAGGACCGAGAAGGACAUACCUCUGGUGUACCAGUUAUCGUGCCAACGGUAAACGCUGGGUAGCUAUGUAUGGAGUGGAUAACCGCUGAAAGCAUCUAAGUGGGAAGCCCACCUCAAGAUAAGUAUUCUCAGC
rnacentral:rRNA from 1 species